GGCGUGGUGGCUGAGCGGUAAAGCGCUAGGUUUCCGAAUUAGGGGUCCCGGGUUUGAAUCCUGGUGAAGACU
rnacentral:tRNA from 1 species